GACGAACGCUGGCGGCGUGCUUAACACAUGCAAGUCGAACGAUGACGACCUAGCUUUCUCGGUCGGAUUAGUGGCGAACGGGUGAGUAACACGUGAGCAACCUGCCCUUCACUCUGGGAUAACCUCAGGAAAUCGGGGCUAAUACCGGAUAUGAGCUCCUGUUGCAUGGCGGGCGUUGGAAAGUUUCUCCGGUUGAGGAUGGGCUCGCGGCUUAUCAGUUUGUUGGUGGGGUAGUGGCUUACCAAGGCGUUGACGGGUAGCCGGCCUGAGAGGGUGACCGGCCACACUGGGACUGAGAUACGGCCCAGACUCCUACGGGAGGCAGCAGUGGGGAAUAUUGCACAAUGGGCGAAAGCCUGAUGCAGCGACGCCGCGUGCGGGAUGACGGCCUUCGGGUUGCAAACCUCUUUCAGCAGGGACGAAGCGAAAGUGACGGUAACUGCAGAAGAAGCGCCGGCUAACUACGUG
rnacentral:rRNA from 1 species